AAAAACUCACCCGUUUUCACACACGCGUAUACACACAGCAGUAGGUUGAACUGAGGAGCCGCUUAAAAGAACAUGAAAAAAACGAACCCAGAUUUAUUGGGAAGCAGGGCACUGAUGAGCAACAAGCAAUAAAGACAGACUUCACCAAGCAGACUGCUCUUCAGCCAUGCCAUCAACCAGCUGUACGAACGGAUUCAUCAAAGGCUGAACUCUGGAUAAAACUACAGAAGAGUACGCAAGAUUUAAUUGAGGCAAGCAAGACUGGGUUUGCAGUGACAUAAAGCAAGCAAACAUUUGCAGUAGAAGAUGUCAACGGUGGUUUACAAGUCUGAAGUGCAUGUAUUUGAACAUUUCUCUCGUAAACAAAUACUGCAGCAGCACACACUGUUGUGACAUUUAUGACCAACUUUGUAAAUAAAUACUUAAAUCUCCAACUACAUUCUUUGCCUUUUCAAAACACUAUCCAGUUUACUCCUUGAUGCAUUCAAAUAUUAGCUGUAGACCACAACAGCAGCAGGUCAUUUUCUAAGAAAGAAGUUUUCUCCAUCAUUUGAAUAGGAUGCUAAAGUUGGUGAAGAAAUUAUUUUUUAAAACAUGUAUGUACUUGAUUUCAAAUCACAUUCAUUCAAUUAUCAUGUAAAGGAGAUGGACGCAGCGGUAGGAAGAACAUGACUCAAUUUCUGCAGGAUGGUUUAGUUCAUACAUUGGAAUCACACUAAGGUCCCAUGUGCAUUACACAGCAGCAAAUUUCCUUUGCUGAAAAUGAAUUUCACUUACUGGAAUGAUUGAAAGUAUUAUUAACUCAGGGUGAGAUUUCCAAAAGGUGAUCAGUGAAGUAAGCAGAUUUUUAGAACUAACCCUCCCUUAAACAUGUACUUAACUAAAAGCACAAUUAAAAAAGACAUACCCAAAGUAAAGCUACUGCAUAGGCCUGCAGAUUAGCACGAGGAGGUAUCUCAAGAAACAAAGCUCCCUUACACCUACAUACCUGUUGCAAAAUGAAUGGAGUGAUUAAAAAGGCAUGACAAGAUUAUUUUAUGCACUAUAUUGUUCCCAUCUUUCAGUGAUGUUACCCAGCACCCAUACUGUAGGCCCUCACUCUGCACAUGUAACGGCACACAUAGAAACGGCUCUCAACUCUUUUCUGCAGUGCACACAUAUCCCCUUUAUACGAUGUUGGUAGGCAUACAAGUAGCAUUUGUAUUUCAGUGUCAGCCUUUGCGUUGUUCUUAAAAAAUCACACAAUCUAACCCUCUGAUUUACCACCAGAUAAUAAUGAGCCCUAUCUGCUGCUAAAUCGGACUUGUGUCCAACUGGCACAUGAAAAGAAAUGGAUUCUCUUGAGUAAUUCCCGCUGGUUUUGAGGAGAUGUUUACUUCUUCUUUCAACUCAAGUUCUGAUCUCGUAGAGACAUACAGGAUUUUUCAAGGUCUGAAUUUUUUCCCCAGGUGUGCACCGCAGAACAGAGAAAUUACUUUAAUCAAACAAAAUCCAUGAUAUUCUACAGUGUUCUUCUUGAACUCCUUCUACAGAAGUGCCCAAAUCUGUCACUGGACCUCUUCUCUCCUGUUCUUCCAGACAGUUAAGUAAUACAUAAGAAAAAGUAAACCUGGUUCAGUUGCUCAAUUGCUUCUGCACUUUCCAAACCACCACUUGAACUCAUUCUGUCUUAACCAAAGACAACUUGGAUACAGUGCAACAACUGCUUUUGAUAGCUAAAGUACGAAAAAUCUCAGAGCAACAUGAUCCCUAAUGAUACCAGUGUUAAGAAAAAACCAAACCAAUAAAUAUUAACCAUUUGCUAAGCAGCAAUACAACAGUAAUGUGUUGUGUGUUAGUUUGCCCUCGCCAUUCUUUUAGCUUCAUUUUCAGCCAACAAACAGAUCUGUAAGAAAUCAUCCAUGGAGAACUAGAAAUUUUACAACUUCAGACAAUUUUUGCUCUCACAUAGCCCUUGAUUAUAUCCCAACAUUUAUUCAAAUCAUUCUUUAAGAAUUAUUUUCUAUGUGUAGAAAUAGCAUCUCUUCACUCGUCUUAUACACCUCUACGUUCAAUGACUGCACAAGGCUAAAAGUCAUUCAACCACAUCUCCGUUACCUGUUAUUCCCAGAAAGAACAAAGAAAGAGUCCUGCAGAAAUCAAAAGACAACAGCACUACAAAAAUCACAGAAUUGUGGUAUUCCUCUUAUUCUAAAAAGCUCAGAGUGAAGGAGAGGAGCAGAUCUGAGAAGUUGUCAAGUUUUAGAACCUGAUCUGCAACUCAGGUAAAUACUGAAAAAAAUAUCACAAAACAACAGUGCAUGAUCUUCCGCAUCAAACGUCAUUUUUAACAUCAGACACAUGGGAUACAAAAAUAUCCUAUCAUUUUAAUAGAGUUGAAUUACUCUCAGUUUCUAAAGUUGGUGCCUAGUCUGAUGCUUUCCUUGUGCUUUACUUGGCAUGCCCUAUGUGGAAAGGCUGAGGGCACUGGGCUGGAAGAGGCCAACACAGUCUCAUAGAAUGGCUGGGGUUGGAAGGGACCUCAAGGAUCAUGAA